rnacentral:rRNA from 1 species
GGGCACCCUGAUCCAGCAAUGCCGCGUGUGUGAAGAAGGCCUUCGGGUUGUAAAGCACUUUUGUCCGGAAAGAAAACCAUCGCCCUAAUAUGGUGGUGGGAUGACGGUACCGGAAGAAUAAGCACCGGCUAACUACGUGCCAGCAGCCGCGGUAAUACGUAGGGUGCGAGCGUUAAUCGGAAUUACUGGGCGUAAAGCGUGCGCAGGCGGUCUGUUAAGACCGAUGUGAAAUCCCCGGGCUUAACCUGGGAACUGCAUUGGUGACUGGCAGGCUUUGAGUGUGGCAGAGGGGGGUAGAAUUCCACGUGUAGCAGUGAAAUGCGUAGAGAUGUGGAGGAAUACCGAUGGCGAAGGCAGCCCCCUGGGCCAACACUGACGCUCAUGCACGAAAGCGUGGGGAGCAAACAGGAUUAGAUACCCUGGUAGUCCACGCCCUAAACGAUGUCAACUAGUUGUUGGGGAUUCAUUUCCUUAGUAACGUAGCUAACGCGUGAAGUUGACCGCCUGGGGAGUACGGUCGCAAGAUUAAAACUCAAAGGAAUUGACGGGGACCCGCACAAGCGGUGGAUGAUGUGGAUUAAUUCGAUGCAACGCGAAAAACCUUACCUACCCUUGACAUGGUCGGAAUCCCGCUGAG